UUCUAAAAAGGUGAAGGUGGGGCAGUAGAAAAAUAUCUGAAAGGUUGUAGUAAGUGUUAAUUGAGCCAAUGUGUGUAGGUGGCCUAGCCUAGUGCUGAACACUAGGAGGUCUUGAAUUCUAGUCACUUGUCAUUUCGUUUAACAGCUUGCUCCACCUCCUCCUUCUGGCUUCCCCAGCCCCCACUUUACACCCUCCACCAUCAUCUCUCCACCCUCCCUAUAGCAAAGCUGCUCUCCUGCAGAGCUGUCACUUUAUAAAGGAUAUGAUAAAUGCUUCACACCACCGUGAUAAUAGUCUCUUAAAUUUCAAUGGGUUCUACACAUUCUAGAAGACUUUGACUAGAUCUUCAAAACAUUUCUGUGAGGAAGGAAGGGUUCCCUUGUUAAAAAGGAAGAAAUCACUCUUCAGAGGUUGGGUGACCUAUCUAGGGCCACGCAGCUAAUGGAAGGCAGAGGAAGACUAGAAUUCAAGUCAUCUGCUGUCUCCUUCCUAGAAUUACACAAAAGUAGAGACGUUCGAAAUACCAGUCUUAGCGGAAAUGAAGGGCAGUGGCCUAUAUCAGACACCUCUGGCAGCAGGGCUGGACCAGCACCCGACCAGCUGCUGCAUUCUUACACAGCUGGUACUCAGUGGUCACAGUGAAGCCUUGAUGGUGUGACUUUAACUAAAUGAAUAAAGAAGAUGGAGUCACAAGCAAAGUCCAGCACUCAGGACUUGGAAGAAAAAGGAACCUGAAGAGACAAAGACAGAGGCUGGCCCCUGCCCCUCACUUCCCACCUCCCUGCUUUCUGCUGCAAAAGGAAUCUAUGCGGAGUCCCGGGGGCCUGGCAAUAGAGCAAGUGUGUUCUGGAAGGGUAGACCAGCAGAAUGAUGAGUGGCAAGCCGAAUUAAGGGCAGGUCCUGCCAGUCCAGGGAAACAAAUGGGAAAAGUCAGACUGAAGGAAAAGAAGAGUGUUUCUGAAUGGCCCAAUGGACUGGAGCUGACAAACCACGGGAAGUGAUUUAAAAGUGCCUCCAGGUAAAACCAGAGAGAAACUUAACUACUAUCACCAGUUAGCAUAGAAUUUUGACCUUUCAUCUAAAUUAUUUGGAGCAAAUGUACAGGGGAAUUUAAUUUUAGAAAACGGGCAAAGAGAGUCAGAGCUAGACUUCCUCCUCCAACACACACAGCACAGGUGGAGAAGCCCGGGGGGAGCUGAAGUUCCCCAAAUGCUCGGUUGCCAUCACAACGGAAGAGAAUAUAACCUCUUUGUUACCAGGGCAGGCAAUUAUGUGAGUGUUCCUGGAAACCUAAGCCCUUUUGUGAGUUAGAGAUGAUGGAACAAUAACGAAAGAAAGACAAUCCUUUUAUCACCAGAAAAUAAGUGUUAGUUUUCAGACAACACUUCCGCAUCUCGAUGCCUGGGUGAUGUUUUUCAGUGACCAACACAGGACUUAGGAAAAGACGUCGUGUCAUGCUGUUCAAGGUCACUAAGAUCUGGCCUUGCCCCCAGGUGUCAGGGACUAGACUGGAGGAUGGCGUGAGUGUUUACCGCUAGCUACAUUCAAGAUCAGCACUCCAUUUCAUCAGGAAGACUCUCACCCUGGCUAACACGACCCAUUCUCAUUUCUCCCCUCUCCCUCUCCCCUCCCCCUUCUGCCUCUCUCCUCCCUCCCACUCCCCUCCCCCAACACAGUUUUUUCCCAGAUGCUCCAUGGUCCCCCAUGCAAACAGAUUAUUGGCAGGUACAACCCACCAUUCCUUAAGACUCAACUAAAUCCUGAGAGAAAAGGCCAUGUGAGGACAUAGAAGGAAAGUGGCCAACUCCAAGCCAGGAAGAAAGCCCUCACCAGAAAUUGAAUCAGCUGGCACCUUGAUCAUGGACUUCCAGCCUCCAGAACUGUGAGAAAAUAAAUAUCUGUUGUUUAAGUCACCCAGCCUGUGGUAUUUUGUUAAAGUAGCCUGAGCAGACUAAUACUCUUGCCAACCUUGUGUGGGGGACUGGAAUUGGCCACCCCAAGAUAUGUCUCUUUGGCAUGAGGAAUAUUUUGGGCUGGUUACUUUUGAAAACCUGCAGACAGGAAAGAAAC
rnacentral:lncRNA from 1 species